UUGACGCUGGCGGCAGGCUUAACACAUGCAAGUCGAGCGGGGGAAGGUAGCUUGCUACCGGACCUAGCGGCGGACGGGUGAGUAAUGCUUAGGAAUCUGCCUAUUAGUGGGGGACAACAUCUCGAAAGGGAUGCUAAUACCGCAUACGUCCUACGGGAGAAAGCAGGGGAUCUUCGGACCUUGCGCUAAUAGAUGAGCCUAAGUCGGAUUAGCUAGUUGGUGGGGUAAAGGCCUACCAAGGCGACGAUCUGUAGCGGGUCUGAGAGGAUGAUCCGCCACACUGGGACUGAGACACGGCCCAGACUCCUACGGGAGGCAGCAGUGGGGAAUAUUGGACAAUGGGGGGAACCCUGAUCCAGCCAUGCCGCGUGUGUGAAGAAGGCCUUAUGGUUGUAAAGCACUUUAAGCGAGGAGGAGGCUACUUUAGUUAAUACCUAGAGAUAGUGGACGUUACUCGCAGAAUAAGCACCGGCUAACUCUGUGCCAGCAGCCGCGGUAAUACAGAGGGUGCGAGCGUUAAUCGGAUUUACUGGGCGUAAAGCGUGCGUAGGCGGCUUAUUAAGUCGGAUGUGAAAUCCCCGAGCUUAACUUGGGAAUUGCAUUCGAUACUGGUGAGCUAGAGUAUGGGAGAGGAUGGUAGAAUUCCAGGUGUAGCGGUGAAAUGCGUAGAGAUCUGGAGGAAUACCGAUGGCGAAGGCAGCCAUCUGGCCUAAUACUGACGCUGAGGUACGAAAGCAUGGGGAGCAAACAGGAUUAGAUACCCUGGUAGUCCAUGCCGUAAACGAUGUCUACUAGCCGUUGGGGCCUUUGAGGCUUUAGUGGCGCAGCUAACGCGAUAAGUAGACCGCCUGGGGAGUACGGUCGCAAGACUAAAACUCAAAUGAAUUGACGGGGGCCCGCACAAGCGGUGGAGCAUGUGGUUUAAUUCGAUGCAACGCGAAGAACCUUACCUGGCCUUGACAUACUAGAAACUUUCCAGAGAUGGAUUGGGUGCCUUCGGGAAUCUAGAUACAGGUGCUGCAUGGCUGUCGUCAGCUCGUGUCGUGAGAUGUGGGUUAAGUCCCGCACGAGCGCACCCUUUUCCUUACUUGCCAGC
rnacentral:rRNA from 1 species